CAGUCGCCGCGGUAAUACGGAGGAUCCAAGCGUUAUCCGGAAUCAUUGGGUUUAAAGGGUCCGUAGGCGGUUUAGUAAGUCAGUGGUGAAAGCCCAUCGCUCAACGGUGGAACGGCCAUUGAUACUGCUGAACUUGAAUUAUUAGGAAGUAACUAGAAUAUGUAGUGUAGCGGUGAAAUGCUUAGAGAUUACAUGGAAUACCAAUUGCGAAGGCAGGUUACUACUAAUUGAUUGACGCUGAUGGACGAAAGCGUGGGGAGCGAACAGGAUUAGAUACCCCGGUAGUCCCUGUCUCUUAUAC
rnacentral:rRNA from 1 species